GUGUUUUUAAAUUUCAGUAUCAAAACGAGAAUACCGAUGAGGGUGAAAGAACAGAAGAAACUAAAGGUGACAAUACCCAGUCUCAAACACUGAAUAUCGAUGAGGGUGAAAGAACAAAAUUAAAGGAAGUAAUUACAGAUGACAUCCGACACACUGAAGCGACGUCAACAGGAGAUAACACUGAUGAGUCUCAAACACUGAAUAUCGAUGAGGGUGAAAGAACAAAAUUAAAGGAAGUAAUUACAGAUGACAUCCGACACGUGAGUACUGUUGUAAACAAACGGGAUAAAUGCCACGCUACAUGUUGUAAAUGACUGAGAACCUUGGCAGGAAAUAGUUGCUAGUCCUUCGGAUGGUGCCAAAAACCGAUGUGUACUGUACAUUAAUUGUUAUUAUCCUAAACACGGCGCUGGUCACGUGGGGCUUAACCUAGCUUCUCCAUUUUUAAAUGAAAUCAUUAAAUUCGACGAAGAUGGACAGAAACGUCGCCAUCUCUCUUACAUUUCCCUCUGCACGGCGUGAUUGGUUACUUUAAACCGAAUGAGGCAAUGGUACUUUUCCUUGCACAUGUACUCUCUGUGAUAUUUUAUAGACACAUGUUAUGGUUAAAUAACUCUUUUUUAUAUAACAAUAUGUCAUUUAUACCAUAAGUUGAUUUAGUACACACUACAUAUGUGGGAAUCUACCAACUUGCCAAAGAUAUUAAUUAAUGAAAUAUACUGCCACAAUUAAUUUCAAGAGCAAAAAUUCUAGCAAUAUUAUUACAAUCUUUAUUACUCUAUUCAAUGUAAUUAUACUUUAUUUAUUUUAAUGGUUUCUUCUUAUUAUAAAUUAGCUUGGUGUAUGUCAAAAUAUGUAUAAAUAGGCUGACUAGAUGGAUAUGUAUCAUUAACUUGAAAACGUGACCGGUAUGUGUCACGAAACGUCGUUACUAAAUAAUAGAGAAGUAGUUUUAUCCAUACCUUGUGUUGUGUUUUGUUAAGAAUACACUUUAUUAAUCGAUUUGACAACUUAGUAA